rnacentral:rRNA from 1 species
UACGGAGGGUGCAAGCGUUAUCCGGAUUUAUUGGGUUUAAAGGGUGCGCAGGCGGAAUAUUAAGUCAGUGGUGAAAUCCUACAGCUUAACUGUAGAACUGCCAUUGAUACUGAUAAUCUAGAGUAUAGUUGACGUAGGCGGAAUAUAGCAUGUAGCGGUGAAAUGCUUAGAUAUGCUAUAGAACACCGAUUGCGAAGGCAGCUUACGAAACUAUUACUGACGCUCAUGCACGAAAGCGUGGGUAGCGAACAGG